ensembl:lncRNA
UUUCUUUUUGUUCAAUGAUUUAUUUAAAAGUGUUCUUCAGUCUAAACUUUUCCACAUACUACACUAAAAAUAAAAACCCGAUCGUUGUUCUUUUUAUAAUGGGCAUCAAGCUUCUUUUUGCUGUCUUGGUUUCAAAAAGCCAUGAAGUUAUUAGUUUUUGAGGUGAUGCAAAACUAAACAUGCUGCUCUGAAAAAGCCUGUAAUUAAGCAGGCUGUAAUAAUUUUUCACUAUCUGGCUCCUUUUCAAAGCGCACGUCAUUCUUUUGUUCUUCCUGCAGUAUAUUCUCAUGGCAGCAGCAACCAUGCUGAUCCUAGGCAUUAAUUACUGUUUAGGAGAAUGGAAAGGAGGAGGGCAAAGAGAAUGGAGAGAGCAAAGAAAACAACACUACACAUUUCCACAAAACACCUCAUGGUGAUAUUUGAAAAAGCAGCUUACAAACACCCACCUACACAGCGCUUGUUGGAGGAUUUAUCUGCUGCUUUUAAGGAUCUAACAGUGACCUUCAGUUGCUCAGUCUAAAGAAGAUAUUGGCAUCAAAAUCUAUUUUUAGUUACCAAAAAAAAAAACCCAAAAAAACAAACAAAAAAAUUUUAAAAAACCAACAAAACCCCCUCCCCCAAAUCACAGUUAAACCAAUAUAUAUAUAUAUAUAUAUAUAUAUACACACACAUUUACAGAAACUGUUUGCCUGGAUUAUUCUGAAAAUGCCCCAGAGAAGUCUGCUAUUAAUCUAAAUUAAGAUCUGUUUCUACAUGAGAGAGAAUAAUUAAAAUUAGCCUGGGUAUUAACGAGUUUCCAGUGUAGCUUCUCCAGGUGCAAGUGACAAUUUUUAGACACGUAAUGACAAGGUAUUUAAUGCACACAACAAAUGGAGCCACAGACUCCUACAUCUUGUAACCAUGAGCUACAUGCUAGAGGUUUUCACAUGAAGAAGCUGGAAUCUGUGGAGUUGUCUUUUUUUAAGCAUAUUAAUAGCUCAGUAAUUAUUAAUGCAGAACAGUAAUUACUUAAUCACUCACUAAGUCUGUUUUGAAAGAUUCCCACAGUAGCCAAUGUUUCCUACUCUAUUCCACCCCCAGAAUUGCUAUUUAACUUGUAUUGAGCAAUAUUCUCUUUGAGGUGAAGGUUGGAAUCGGGCCUGGGAAAAAAAAUUAUUAUUUGAAGACCAUAAAAAUUUGAUGUGUUUGGCACUCAAAAAAGUACGGAAUGAUCCGAGGCCCCACAGGGUGGGAUUUAUGCUGUCAUUCUUUGUGUUCCAUAUUCAGCUGAUGCUCAGAGCCACAUCUGCCUGAGCCAGCUGAAGUUCAAAGCUGAGAGCCUUGGCUCACAACCUCAGGUACAAUAAUGUGCUAAUACAGCUAUAUAUGCCUUCUAAAUUGGAUCUGCCUCAUGCUUAACCAGCUCAGAGCAGGUGCAAAACAAGCCAAAGGUUAUCUCUGAAAAAUCAAUACAGAACUAAGUUAUUUAUACAGAUGGUUAUAAAGAAGAGUUGGUAGACUUUUUCAGUGGAGGAGAACUGAAAUUUUAGUGACCAUAUUAAUUUACCACGUUUGAGCACAGCCUUUAGGUUUCCAAAAUAUACAAAAGCAUAAAUGCAGUUAUUAAUAUAUGUCUCCAUGCUAUGGUUAUGUAACUUGACUGUAAUGAGAGAAACCAUUGGCACAAGAAGAAACUGAGGAAUCCAGAGUAUCCAGGAGAAAAAUCUGAAAGAAAUAUAAUCCAAAAUUCUUUCACAUCUCCAGCUGCUUUUCAAGGGACACAUUAGCCCAGAAUUUGGAUUGAAAAAGAAACACAGAUGUUGCAUAAUGUCAGUGUAUAAAUACUUCAGAACUUGUUCCUGCAUGUAGUACCCAAAUAGCACCCCAAGUCCCAGAUACUAUAUGCACAUAUGUAUAAAAGGACAGAUGUGUGUGAUCACAGGAAGAUUUUAAACUCAGUAAAAUAGAAGCUUUGUACUCUCUUGUACAGCCUGGCUUGUUCCUGUCUUGACUUUCACCCAUCCUGGGGUUUAGCAGAAGGAUGUGGGAGCUCUUGGUAGCUCUUGAACUCUGACACCUCUUGGUCUUGCCAGGCUCCUUCAUUUCAUCUUCAGGAAAUUUAAUCAAGUUUAUGGAUAACACCAGAGUAAAACACCUUGCAAGGAAGAUGACAAGGGCUGUGAAUUUACAUCACACAACAGCAGAAGGACAUUCUGCAUCUCCCUAUGGUUUUUAUAUCUAUAUAUCUCAGUGCUUUUCAUCUGAAAUAGAUACUAACACAACAUCACCACAGCAUAAAGCAGCAGUUGAUUUACAAGUUGUAUUCCUGUGAUGCGACAUCCAUCAAAGAAAAAAAAGACCUAUUUUCUAGGAUCAACAGAACAGUUAAUAAGAGCAUAAAUUACAAAAAUAUUCAUCUAAGCAAGCUAAUCUAUCAUGCUAAUCUUGAAGCAAUAAGUGUAAAAUACAACACUUAACAGGCCAAGAAUGUCAAACAUGCACGCUGAUAAUCGUUUGAACCAGUCUUGCUGUGCCAGAUCCAACUCUGCCAGUUUUCCAUCAACAUAAAACAUAGAUAGAAACUUAAAUAAUUAUGGCAUGCGGAAAAUAUCAUAUUAUUUGUGUGUUGAUAGAUUAUAUAUUAGCAUAGGAAUAGAUUUGAAGGAUAAAAAUUUCUGAUGGAAAGAAUUCAAAUCCCAAACAAUUCGUAUCUGCUCCAGACUUCUAAAUCACUUGCAGCUGGUAAACACUAUUACCAGCAGUACAAAGAUACCAUAAGGCUUUGUUCUGAGGCACUAAAACCUCCUGUUGUGAGAGAACACAUAGCCAAGCUGAUCCAAGAAAACAGACUUCGGAAAACCAAGAAAAAGUCAGCAUUUUCCUUCACAAGGUACAAAAUUCUAGAAAAGAUAUGAUGUAGCCCAAUACUGUGAAAAUACCUGAUUUUUUGUAAGUGGUAUUUGCCUUCCAGUCUUCCUCUACAAAGGAUAUAACUUAUCAACUCACUUCUAUUUCUCUUCCCCCCGUGAUUUGGGUGGAAAAUUCUCUUCUUGCUUGAGGAAACUCUAGGCCAGGGCAGUGCUUCUCAUCAGCCAC